ACUUGUCUAGCCCAUUUGGUAAAAUACAAGGCUUUAAAAUUUAUGGUCGUGGGUUCGAGCCCAAUGGUGGGUG
rnacentral:tRNA from 7 species